UGGGGGAUAUUGCACAAUGGGCGAAAGCCUGAUGCAGCGACGCCGCGUGGGGGAUGAAGGCCUUCGGGUUGUAAACUUCUUUUGCUCUGAACAAGGCGCACCAUGGGGUGUGUUGAGUGUAGGGGUUGAUUAGCGCCGGCUAACUACGUGCCAGCAGCCGCGGUAAUACGUAGGGCGCGAGCGUUGUCCGGAAUUAUUGGGCGUAAAGGGCUUGUAGGUGGCUGGUUGCGUCUGUCGUGAAAGCUCAUGGCUUAACUGUGGGUUGGCGGUGGGUACGGGCUGGCGUGAGUGCAGUAGGGGAGGCUGGAAUUCCUGGUGUAGCGGUGGAAUGCGCAGAUAUCAGGAGGAAUACCGGUGGCGAAGGCGGGGCUCUGGGCUGUUACUGACACUGAGGAGCGAAAGCAUGGGGAGCGAACAGG
rnacentral:rRNA from 1 species